rnacentral:rRNA from 1 species
CGUGAGAGGUGUGUGUAGGCAAAUCCGCACACUGUAACCUCAAGCUGUGAUGGGGAGGGAAAAUCACAGUACCGAAGGUCAUGUACCCACGCUGCCAAGAAAAGCCUCUAGCCAGGAGAAGGUGCCCGUACCGCAAACCGACACAGGUGGGCGAGAUGAGAAUUCUAAGGCGCGCGGAAGAACUCUCGUUAAGGAACUCGGCAAAAUGACCCCGUAACUUCGGGAGAAGGGGUGCCCCGGUAGUGUGAAUAGCACGAGGGGGCCGCAGUGAAGAGGCCCAAGCGACUGUUUAGCAAAAACACAGGUCUGUGCGAAGCCGUAAGGCGAAGUAUACGGGCUGACGCCUGCCCGGUGCUGGAAGGUUAAGAGGAGUGGUUAGCCGCAAGGCGAAGCUAUGAAUUGAAGCCCCAGUAAACGGCGGCCGUAACAAUAACGGUCCUAAGGUAGCGAAAUUCCUUGUCAGGUAAAUUCUGACCCGCACGAAUGGCGUAACGACUUGGGCGCUGUCUCAACGAGAGAUCCGGUGAAAUUUUAGUACCUGUGAAGAUGCAGGUUACCCGCGACGUGACGGAAAGACCCCAUGGAGCUUUACUGUAGCUUGAUAUUGAACUUUGGUACGGUCUGUACAGGAUAGGUGGGAGCCUUUGAAGCAGGAGCACAAGCUUCUGUGGAGGCGCCGUUGGGAUACCACCCUGAUCGUAUCGGAGUUCUAACUCGCUGCCCUUAUCGGGCAGGAGGACCGUGUCAGGCGGACAGUUUGACUGGGGCGGUCGCCUCCUAAAAUGUAACGGAGGCGCUCUAAGGUUCCCUCAGCGCGGUUGGAAAUCGCGCGCAGAGUGCAAAGGCAUAAGGGAGCUUGACUGCGAGACCUACAAGUCGAGCAGGGACGAAAGUCGGACUUAGUGAUCCGGUGGUACCGAAUGGAAGGGCCAUCGCUCAACGGAUAAAAGCUACCCUGGGGAUAACAGGCUUAUCUCCCCCAAGAGUCCACAUCGACGGGGAGGUUUGGCACCUCGAUGUCGGCUCAUCGCAUCCUGGGGCUGAAGUAGGUCCCAAGGGUUGGGCUGUUCGCCCAUUAAAGCGGUACGCGAGCUGGGUUCAGAACGUCGUGAGACAGUUCGGUCCCUAUCUGUCGCGGGCGUAGGAAAUUUGAGAGGGGCUGUCCUUAGUACGAGGGGACCGGGAUGGAUGCACCGCUGGUGUACCAGUUGUUCCGCCAGGAGCAUCGCUGGGUAGCCAAGUGCGGAAGGGAUAAGCGCUGAAAGCAUCUAAGCGCGAAGCCUGCCUCAAGAUGAGAUUUCCCAAUUCGUAAGACCCCUGGAAGAACACCAGGUUGAUAGGCUCGGGGCGGAAGCGCGGUAACGUGUGCAGCUGACGAGUACUAAUCGGUCGAGGGCUUAUUC